rnacentral:rRNA from 1 species
CGUGAGGAACCUGCCUCAAAGAGGGGGACAACAGCUGGAAACGGCUGCUAAUACCGCAUGACGCAUUCGGAUGGCAUCAUCUGAAUGCCAAAGAUUUAUCGCUGAAAGAUGGCCUCGCGUCUGAUUAGAUAGUUGGCGGGGUAACGGCCCACCAAGUCGACGAUCAGUAGCCGGACUGAGAGGUUGACCGGCCACAUUGGGACUGAGAUACGGCCCAG